GUGUGCUCUUCGGAUAUCUUGUAGUUCCAUUUAGGGCUCUUACCCAGUUUCCUUUUAAUUGACAUGCGGGGUCUGUUUAACUUCCUGCUGCUAUUUUGUCAAAUAGCUGUGGUUUAAUAAAGAUGCACACAGCCUGUAACAGACUGUGUAAUUGGAGCGUUCUGCCCUGCAAGCUGAGGCUCUGAAAUAGAUCUUAGCCCUGAACCCGCUCUGAGCUACUCAGGAUUAUUAAACGGAGAUGAUUAAUCCUCCUUGCA